rnacentral:rRNA from 1 species
UGGGGAAUUUUGGACAAUGGGCGCAAGCCUGAUCCAGCCAUGCCGCGUGCGGGAAGAAGGCCUUCGGGUUGUAAACCGCUUUUGUCAGGGAAGAAAUCUUCUGAGUUAAUACCUCGGGAGGAUGACGGUACCUGAAGAAUAAGCACCGGCUAACUACGUGCCAGCAGCCGCGGUAAUACGUAGGGUGCAAGCGUUAAUCGGAAUUACUGGGCGUAAAGCGUGCGCAGGCGGUUUUGUAAGACAGAGGUGAAAUCCCCGGGCUCAACCUGGGAACUGCCUUUGUGACUGCAAGGCUUGAGUGCGGCAGAGGGGGGAUGGAAUUCCGCGUGUAGCAGUGAAAUGCGUAGAUAUGCGGAGGAACACCGAUGGCGAAGGCAAUCCCCUGGGCCUGCACUGACGCUCAUGCACGAAAGCGUGGGGAGCAAACAGGAUUAGAUACCCUGGUAGUCCACGCCCUAAACGAUGUCAACUGGUUGUUGGGAAGGUUCCUUCUCAGUAACGUAGCUAACGCGUGAAGUUGACCGCCUGGGGAGUACGGCCGCAAGGUU